GUUGUUGUUGAAGUGUCCAUCUUCUCCUACUGAGAUGUAAGUGCCUCGACACAGAAACCUGGUUCAUUGAUUUUUUUUAUUUUAAUGCCAAGGACCUCCUUCACUAAAUGCCUGAAAUCAGAACAGAUUUUCCAGCACCUACAUGCCUAUUUAUUUCUCAAGCGCCUGACACCUAAAGGAGCAUUUUUCAUAUGGCUAGGACAUGACAUUUGGGAAAAGCAUCUUUCUAGGGGUGACAGCCUGGCACAGCAUAGACUUUCCUUCUGUUUUACAGUUCUACUGCAAUUUAAAUGUUAGAGUAAUUGGUCAGUUGGCCAUAAAUUGCAUGUACAGUUGACCUUUUAGCAAUGUGAGGGUUAGGGGUCUUCUGUGCAGUUGAAAAUCUGCUUAUAACAGUGAUUCCCCCUAGACUUAACUACCAAUAGCCCACUGUUGACCUGAAGCUUACUGAUCACAUCAACAGUCAAUGAACAUGUAUUUUGUAUGUUAUAUGGAUUUUAUAAUAUACCGUAUACUUACAAUAAAAAAGCUAGACAAAGAAAAUGUUACUAAGAAAACUAUAAGAGAAAAUAUGUUUAUAGUUACUGUAUUUAUUUUAUAAACUGUAUACAGUUCAAGGGUUAACUAUAUGUUUAGAAACUUUUGUAACCUCUUGGGAAGUCAUGGGAGAGGGAGUUAAGGGGUCAGAUGGGGCCAGGUGCGCUUUACUGAAGAGCAAUAAUUGUUGCCAUUAAUAUCUUUGCAGCCUCUCUUCCUACCACCAUAACCUGGAUACAUGGAUAUUUUUUCCUCCUCAAAGUAUUUUCCUGUCUUAAAUGUCCUGUAACUACCAUUUAUUCUUUCAGUAAAGCUUCAGAAAUUCAAUAUGAUUCUAUAGUGUCUCCAGACAGUCAAAAACAUGUUUUUAAUGUAUCAUAUUACAUGGUUAAAGCAUGCAAUGUUAUAUGAAACAAAUAAAACAAACAUUUACAAACCAUAAGAUCAAUAAGAAUCACAAUAUAUGGGCAAAGUCAACCCAACCACACAAUGAAAGAUAUUCACAUCCAAGUGGAAAAACAAAAUAAGAAAAGAAAAAUAAAUCACAGC
rnacentral:lncRNA from 1 species